rnacentral:rRNA from 1 species
ACUCCGGGAACCGGGGCUAAUACCGGAUGGUUGUUUGAACCGCAUGGUUCAGACAUAAAAGGUGGCUUCGGCUACCACUUACAGAUGGACCCGCGGCGCAUUAGCUAGUUGGUGAGGUAACGGCUCACCAAGGCGACGAUGCGUAGCCGACCUGAGAGGGUGAUCGGCCACACUGGGACUGAGACACGGCCCAGACUCCUACGGGAGGCAGCAGUAGGGAAUCUUCCGCAAUGGACGAAAGUCUGACGGAGCAACGCCGCGUGAGUGAUGAAGGUUUUCGGAUCGUAAAGCUCUGUUGUUAGGGAAGAACAAGUGCCGUUCAAAUAGGGCGGCACCUUGACGGUACCUAACCAGAAAGCCACGGCUAACUACGUGCCAGCAGCC